UACGUAGGUGGCAAGCGUUGUCCGGAAUUAUUGGGCGUAAAGCGCGCGCAGGUGGUCCUUUAAGUCUGAUGUGAAAGCCCACGGCUCAACCGUGGAGGGUCAUUGGAAACUGGGGGGCUUGAGUGCAGAAGAGGAUAGUGGAAUUCCAAGUGUAGCGGUGAAAUGCGUAGAGAUUUGGAGGAACACCAGUGGCGAAGGCGACUAUCUGGUCUGUAACUGACACUGAGGCGCGAAAGCGUGGGGAGCAAACAGG
rnacentral:rRNA from 1 species